rnacentral:rRNA from 1 species
AACGAACGCUGGCGGCAUGCCUAACACAUGAAGUCGAACGAGACCUUCGGGUCUAGUGGCGCACGGGUGCGUAACGCGUGGGAACCUGCCCUUAGGUUCGGAAUAACUCCCCGAAAGGGGUGCUAAUACCGGAUAAUGUCUUCGGACCAAAGAUUUAUCGCCUUUGGAUGGGCCCGCGUUGGAUUAGCUAGUUGGUAGGGUAAAAGCCUACCAAGGCGACGAUCCAUAGCUGGUCUGAGAGGAUGAUCAGCCACACUGGGACUGAGACACGGCCCAGACUCCUACGGGAGGCAGCAGUGGGGAAUAUUGGACAAUGGGCGAAAGCCUGAUCCAGCAAUGCCGCGUGAGUGAUGAAGGCCUUAGGGUUGUAAAGCUCUUUUACCCGGGAUGAUAAUGACAGUACCGGGAGAAUAAGCGCCGGCUAACUCCGUG